GGACCCGCACAAGCGGUGGAUUAUGUGGAUUAAUUCGAUGCAACGCGAAAAACCUUACCUACCCUUGACAUGUACGGAACCCCGCAGAGAUGCGGGGGUGCCCGAAAGGGAGCCGUAACACAGGUGCUGCAUGGCUGUCGUCAGCUCGUGUCGUGAGAUGUUGGGUUAAGUCCCGCAACGAGCGCAACCCUUGCCACUAGUUGCUACAUUAAGUUGGGCACUCUAAUGGGACUGCCGGUGACAAACCGGAGGAAGGUGGGGAUGACGUCAAGUCCUCAUGGCCCUUAUGGGUAGGGCUUCACACGUAAUACAAUGGCCGGUACAGAGGGCUGCCAACCCGCGAGGGGGAGCAAAUCCCAGAAAGCCGGUCGUAGUCCGGAUUGUUCUCUGCAACUCGAGAGCAUGAAGUCGGAAUCGCUAGUAAUCGCGGAUCAGCAUGUCGCGGUGAAUACGUUCCCGGGUCUU
rnacentral:rRNA from 1 species